rnacentral:rRNA from 1 species
UAUUGGGCAAUGGACGCAAGUCUGACCCAGCAACGCCGCGUGAAGGAAGAGGGCUUUCGGGUUGUAAACUUCUUUUAAGAGGGAAGAGCAGAAGACGGUACCCCUUGACUAAGCCACGGCUAACUACGUGGCAGCCGCCGCGGUAAUACGUAGGUGGCAAGCGUUGUCCGGAUUUACUGGGUGUCAAGGGCGUGCAGCCGGAGAGACAAGUCAGAUGUGAAAUCCACGGGCUCAACCCGUGAACUGCAUUUGAAACUGUUUCCCUUGAGUGUCGGAGAGGUAAUCGGAAUUCCUUGUGUAGCGGUGAAAUGCGUAGAUAUAAGGAAGAACACCAGUGGCGAAGGCGGAUUACUGGACGAUAACUGACGGUGAGGCGCGAAAGCGUGGGGAGCAAACAGG